AUGAAGGUUCUGAUUCUACUGCUGAAUACACUCGGCCUCCUCACUCAACAGUCGUUUGGAGAAAUCAUCAUGACUCAGACUCCAGGAUCUCACUCGGUUUCUCCAGGACAAACUGUUACCAUCAACUGCAGAGCCAGUCAGGGCAUUAGCAGCUACAUCCAACUCCUGAUCUAUGAUGCAACUAAUCUUCAUUCUGGGAUUCCUGGACAUUUUAGUGGAAGUGGAUCUGGUGCAGAAUAUUCUCUAAAAAUCACUGGAGUCCAGGCUGAAGAUGCAGGAGAUUAUUACUGUCAGCAGGGUUACACUCCCUUCACACAGUGUUAUUUACUGGUACAAAAACCUCCCUCAGCUGUAGAGGAAGUUCUCUGA